CCAACAUGGAUUGCCUGGGAGGUCACUCUCCCUGAACUCUGACCCAUGGUGGACCGUCCCUUUUUCUUGGAAAAGAAGCUGGACCUUGAGUCCGUGCCUGCGUAUUCCUAAAACUUCAGAGUCCUGUGGCAAUGACUGAGGAGACAAACCAUGCAGGAAACAUUC
rnacentral:snoRNA from 1 species